AUGUCAGAUAACAUCAGCAGUAGAUCAGCAUUGCAAUUGAGAAUUUUAAUACUCCAAUUGACACUGCAAUUGACGCUGAUGGAGUACUUCUUUGACAAAAUGAAAUUGAUACUGCAAUUGGCACUGUACCUGCAGCCAACAGCAGCAGCAGAGGCAAUCAGCAGUCGAGGUGCUCGAGGGCAGAGGCAAUCAGCAGUCGAGGGCAGAAGCAAUCAGCAGAGGCAAUCAGCAGAAGCAAUCAGCAGAAGCAAUCGGCUGUGGCAUCAGCAGGUUUGCGUGGUCCUCUCUCCGCCGGGGAAGAUCCGCCAGGGACGCGAGCAGGGCCACGAGGAGGAGGCGCCCGUCAAGGUGGUCGAGGAGCAGCCUCAGCUGGGCGGCGGGGCAGCUCGCCUCCGUGCGGAUGGCCCACGUUCGUAG
rnacentral:rRNA from 1 species